CAGCCGCCGCGGUAAUACGAGGGGAGCUAGCGUUAUUCGGAAUUACUGGGCGUAAAGCGCACGUAGGCGGCUUUGUAAGUUAGAGGUGAAAGCCCAGAGCUCAACUCUGGAAUUGCCUUUAAGACUGCACCGCUUGAAUCCAGGAGAGGUGAGUGGAAUUCCGAGCGUAGAGGUGAAAUUCGUAGAUAUUCGGAAGAACACCAGUGGCGAAGGCGGCUCACUGGACUGGUAUUGACGCUGAGGCGCGAAAGCGUGGGGAGCAAACAGGAUUAGAUACCCCCGUAGUCCCUGUCUCUUAUAC
rnacentral:rRNA from 1 species